rnacentral:misc_RNA from 1 species
GAGAACUGCCAGACAACUACAAUUGUCACUGCUUAGUAUAACUUCUUUCGAACCAAAAGUGAAUUAUACUUUUUAUUCAUUAGUCCAGUAGCCUUCCACCGCUAACCGAUCUUGCUGGGUCAGCACCACUAGCCAUCUCUUCCAGCAUUCCCAGCCAGCUACACAACUAAGCUAAAAGGCCGGUCACUUCUCUUACGUCAUUUCCCCCAGGAACAAACACAGCUCAUAAUUACACAACAACUUUCUUCCUUUUGUCUUUCUUUCAGCUUCUAAAUCAGAGUUUGCCCUAUAAGGUUAAGGUAAAUAACAAUUCUUCUAAUCGUUAUAUUCUAUUAGCAGAGAUCGGGAAUUCUCUAUUACCUAUUUCUUUCAUUCUUAAUGCUAGGCCAGGUUUA